GAUGAAGAACGCAGCGAAAUGCGAUAAGUAGUGUGAAUUGCAGAAUUCAGUGAAUCAUCGAAUCUUUGAACGCACAUUGCGCCCGCCAGUAUUCUGGCGGGCAUGCCUGUCCGAGCGUCAUUUCAACCAUCAAGCCCCGGGCUUGUGUUGGGGACCUGCGUCCGACGCAGGCCCCGAAAACCAGUGGCGGGCUCGCUGUCCACACCGAGCGUAGUAGCUAACCUCGCUCCGGAGUGGCGCGGGCGCCUGCCGUAAAACCCCCCCAAUUUUACAAGGUUGACCUCGGAUCAGGUAGGAAUACCCGCUGAACUUAAGCAUAUCAAUAAGCGGAGGA
rnacentral:misc_RNA from 1 species